UACGUAGGGUGCGAGCGUUAAUCGGAAUUACUGGGCGUAAAGCGUGCGCAGGCGGUUUUUGUAAGUUUGUCGUGAAAUCCCCGGGCUUAACCUGGGAAUGGCCAUGGAAACUGGCGAACUGGAGUGUGGCAGAGGGGGGUGGAAUUCCGCGUGUAGCAGUGAAAUGCGUAGAGAUGCGGAGGAACACCGAUGCGAAGGCAGCCCCCUGGGCUAGCACUGACGCUCAGGCACGAAAGCGUGGGGAGCAAACAGG
rnacentral:rRNA from 1 species